CUGGCUCAGGAUGAACGCUGGCGGCGUGCCUAAUACAUGCAAGUCGAACGAGGGUGCUUGCACCCUAGUGGCGAACGGGUGAGUAACACGUAGGUAACCUGCCCUUAAGCUUGGGAUACCCAGAGGAAACUUUGGCUAAUACCGGAUAACAACAGAAGAGGCAUCUCUUCAGUUUGAAAGGCCCUGUAAGGGGUCACUUAAGGAUGGACCUGCGGCGCAUUAGCUAGUUGGUGAGAUAAAAGCCCACCAAGGCGAGGAUGCGUAGCCGACCUGAGAGGGUGAUCGGCCACAUUGGAACUGAGACACGGUCCAAACUCCUACGGGAGGCAGCAGUAAGGAGUUUUCGGCAAUGGGGGAAACCCUGACCGAGCAACGCCGCGUGAGUGAUGACGGCCCUAUGGGUUGUAAAGCUCUGUUGUAAGGGACGAAUGAUUCGCUUAGGAAAUGAAGCGGAUUUGACGGUACCUUACCAGAAGGCCACGGCUAACUACGUGCCAGCAGCAGC
rnacentral:rRNA from 1 species